rnacentral:rRNA from 1 species
UGGGGAAUUUUGGACAAUGGGCGAAAGCCUGAUCCAGCAAUGCCGCGUGUGUGAAGAAGGCCUUCGGGUUGUAAAGCACUUUUGUCCGGAAAGAAAUCCUUGGCUCUAAUACAGUCGGGGGAUGACGGUACCGGAAGAAUAAGCACCGGCUAACUACGUGCCAGCAGCCGCGGUAAUACGUAGGGUGCAAGCGUUAAUCGGAAUUACUGGGCGUAAAGCGUGCGCAGGCGGUUUGCUAAGACCGAUGUGAAAUCCCCGGGCGUCAACCUGGGAACUGCAUUGGUGACUGGCAGGCUAGAGUAUGGCAGAGGGGGUGAGAAUUCCACGUGUAGCAGUGAAAUGCGUAGAGAUGUGGAGGAAUACCGAUGGCGAAGGCAGCCCCUGGCAAGUCACUGACGCUCAUGCACG